CCUACGGGAGACAGCAGUGAGGAAUAUUGGUCAAUGGCCGGAAGGCUGAACCAGCCAAGCCGCGUGAAGGAUGAAGGUGCCAAGCAUUGUAAACUUCUUUUGUCAAGGGACAAAAUCAGGCUCGAGAGCCUGACCGAGUGUACUUGAAGAAAAAGCAUCGGCUAACUCCGUGCCAGCAGCCGCGGUAAGACGGAGGAUGCGAGCGUUAUCCGGAUUUGUUGGGUUUAAGGGGUGCGUAGGCGGGCUGUUACGUCAGCGGUAAAAUCCCGGGGCUCAACCCCGGCGAGCCGUUGAAACUGGCUGUCUUGAGAUGUCGAGAGGUAUGCGGAAUGCGCAGUGUAGCAGUGAAAUGCUUAGAUAUUGCGAAGAACUGCGAUUGCGAAGGCAGCAUACCGGCGGCGAUCUGACGCUGAGGCACGAAAGCGUGGGUAUCGAACAGGAUUAGAUACCCUUGUAGUC
rnacentral:rRNA from 1 species